ensembl:lncRNA
GUAGGUGCAGAGGGGUACCGGUUCCUGACAGCCUGCUGCUGCAUUUCAUGCUCUCUGCUCUCCCCCAUUCUCACCCAAACGUUAAUUUUACGGAUGCCUUUAUAAAUCUCGCCGUUUUUUCCUGUUCAUGGGCUUCAUAGAUUUCAUCAUGCUGAGAGAUGGCACUUCUGGCCUCUGGUACCAAGCUAUCAAUUUAAUACUCUGAGUGUAAUAAAAAACAUGGGAUGGUAUUAACUCCCAAUUACUCUGCUGCUCCUUGCUGUAACUCCUUCUGUUCCAUCUGAAAGCCUGGGAUGCAGAGUACGUGCAGCAGCUGCUGGCAGAGCCAUGGGCUGAGGGCAGCCAGCACCUCCCAGCUUGGAACUGCCCAUUUCCCAAACUGCGAGCUGCUCUCCUGCUUGCCAAGAAUACAGAGGUGUCCCUACCUUUGUCAGACCAGACCACGUGGAUGUUGAGAUGGCUGCCUUUCAGAGAGCGCUUUUCCAGGUCUGUUGAGUAAAUACAGACCUGGAAGAGUCUUUUUUUUUCUAUUCUGUCCCAUGAAGUCGGGACAUCCCUCACACAGAAGGCUCCUACAGCAGCCCAGCCGUGGCGUGCAGGCGCCCAGUGAGUGCCCAGGUCCCAGCUGACCUAUCACUCGACAAGCAACAGCAGAUGGAUGUGAAAAGCCUUUACGUUCAGCACAUGAUCAAUGCUAAACCGAUCUCCUGGAGUCCUUUAUAAGAUUGCCCCAGCCUCAUGCAUCCAAUUGUAACAAAAAAAUCACUCGGCACGCUGGGGAGAUGUGAGAAACGCUGUAGAUCCCAUUUAGGAUGCAAAGAGCCAGAGUAAGUAACUCCACAUUGUUUCUCGCAGUAAAUAAUUCAUCCAGCUUACAUUUUGGUUUAUUGCCCCUGCCCCCAUCAGCUCCCUUCUACCAGUUUCCUUCUUCUGUCCUGAAAUUCCCUCUCUGGGUCACUUCUGUCACUGUGACUCCCCACCACACACGUGUGUGUGCUUGUGCACGCGCAGCGGCACAGAUCUGACCCAGUUCAGCUUCUGCUGGUUGCCGUUGAUCGGGGCCAGCAGUGCUGGGGCAGAGAUGCUGCCUUUUCACCCGGCUUCCUCACCCCGGGCUCUUCCCCAGCGCUGCUUUUACACGGUGUCAGGACGCGUUAAUGAAAACGUUUGGAAUGCGUUAGCAAUGCUAAUAGUAUUGCUGUACUAAUUAGGAAUGCCAUUUGAACGAACUCUCGCUUAACGAUACAAAUUACCAGCCAGCCAGGCGCGGAGCGAGGGCUGCAGCUGCUGCAUGGAGAGCAGCGAUUACGGGGUGCGAAGCUCUGGCACGGGGCCUGGCAGCAGAAUGAGGCCCUGGGCUUCUCCGUGCUGUCGGAGCCAGGAGGAACCCUGCAGUGCAUCUGGGCCAGGGUGCGUGGUGGGCUCUGCCCUGAUUGCACGGCCUUCCUGGUGCGAGCUCCGGUGGUACUGCUGAACCAGAUGGUCUGUGUGUCAAUGCAAGUUGCUACGGCUGCAAAAAGAGCAGGUUGAUGUGAGCCCCCGCCAUGGGAAGGAGCUUGUGUCUGGCCCUGUUAGCGGUGGCAAGGCUUGUACUGCAGCUCCGAAGCCCUUGGCAGCACGCUGGCUGCUGGGGCAUCCUGCUUCUGGGAAGCUUGUUGGAAAGGGCUGAUUACAAAUAGGCAGGUGUCCCCAGAGCUGAAAACUGUAGUCAGGAAGAGCAUUGCUUGCAUACCCCUGUCCCCAGCCUGCUCCUGCAUAUUGCUCGUGGCCACUCUGAAGACGCAGCAUGGACGGAAAAGACUCUCCCAGCAGAAACCAUUUGGUGCCUGAGGAAACUGGAGCCCUGCAGACACCUUCCAGGGAGUGGAUUUGUUGGGACAGGCGGAAGCUGUGAGUAUCCAACCCCACCUUUGGUUCUGCUCACCUCUGCUUGCUGUGAAGGGCGGGAGAGCUGAGAUCAGGGCCUGUGGCCUGUUUGUCUGACCCAAACAGCACCUUCAGGAGCGGAUCUUCAGACCUCGUGCAACCCUCUCCAUUGGCUGUUCUGCUGCUCCUUCCAGCCCGGCAGCAGGUAACCUUUUGGAGAGAAAUGAUCCCAGCAUCAAUGUGAUAUUUUGCGUGCUGUCCCCUUGGGAAUCGGUGCCAGUGAGCGUUCACCGGUGCUCCCAAGACGUAGAGCUCAGUCUGGGUCCGGAUCCAGAGCAGUGGAGAUGGAGAGCUAAAGCGCUACAGCAAGAGGAUGCACAAAGCUCUUGAGACUCGAUGCCGCUGGCUGGAGGCAUUGCUGUAUGGCCCAGGGCACAGCAGCGGUGCCCCCGGGUGCCUGCUGCUCACCCUGUCCCCAGCGGUUGGCUCCUGGCAGCUGCAGAGUACGUUUCCAGCCCUGAAAUGGAGUGUUUCUCCCUCAUCAGUCCAGUUUGGUUCAGGGGUGAUGGAGCCCUCACAGCAGGAGUGAGCUGAGGCUGCUGGGCAGCCAGGCUGCUGGAGCAUGACUUUUUAAAUGCUUUCCAUUACAGCUCUCUGUAGCUCGUGUCUCUGCGGAGCUGCUUUCUGCACAGCAGGGGGAUGGAACUAGGUGAUCCUGAAGGUCCCUUCCAACCCGAGCCGUGCUGUGAUUCUAUGGUCUCACAAACAGGAGCUUUCAGAGUACGUUGCUGCAAGAGCAGCUCUGGGCUCCUUGAAUGUGUCCCUGGGAAGAGCUGCUCUGCACCUUGGUUUGGGGACCCCUAUCACCUCUGCAAAGGCUGUGCCAGGGUUCUGGCAGUGGGGAGGGAGAGGGCAGUCUCCUAUGGAGCAGGACGGCUUUUCAGCCUAUCUUUGCCCAGCUCUGCUCCCUCUCUACCUAUCUCCAGCUAUUUCCUUACCACAACAACAUCACAGAGGGAACACAAGGGGCUGCAAGGAGUUGGAAGAGUUGUCGGAGCUGAGCAUCCAGGCCCACCAAGCCCAGGACCUUCCUCAGCCCCAGGCUCCCUCAUCUUUGUACUACUCGCUCAUGCUCAGAGAGCUGCCGGCGCACUGCUUGCACCCAGCAUCCCCAUCCUGGCCUGGCUCCUGUCCUGAAUAUAUUUUUAUAUGUUAUGACUCAGAGGUUUUUAAAUUUAAUGGGUUCUUUUUUUCUUGCUUGCUUCUUAGCACCUGAACUGGAUCCUUUCUGAGCUGCUGCCAGCUCCAAGGGAUUACAAGUGAAUAAUUCAGGUUCGAUGCCGUUUGAAGUUUCAGGGAAGGAAGUGGCAUGUGAAGCCUGCUCCCCACACCUGUCCCAGGGCCACGCUGCUCCAAAGGCAAUCUGAAGAACACCCUGAGGAGCCACACUCUGAACAUUUCUGCGUGGAUGUUGCCUUCCGAGCUCCUGGCAGCCUCGACUGAGGCUGUUUGUACAGGCUGCAGCUCUGCACAGGGGCAGCUCCCCAGCACCAGAGGAUUGCUGCAAGGCUUGAGAGUGCCGUGGAAUGAAGCGCAGCAUCCUGCUUGCCAGCCCAGGUCCAGGAGGGGUUAAAUGCCGGACUGCUGUGUCUGUUCCAGCUGCAGUGAAGCAUAGAGAAGGCAAUGGACAAACAUGACCUGCUGUAAACGAAUUUACAACUGAACAAGCCAAUCAGUCUGUGACAUGAUUGAAGACCUGCAGUAAAGCCAUGGAGCUGACAGAAUUGGGAUUCUGUAUGUGGUAUGAAAGGAAAGGCAAGCAUCCAAUGAACGAGAGCCAGGAGCUGCCACAGCAGAAGUCUGGAUGAGAGGACCGUGCUUUGGAGAGGAGAAAUCAACUCUGGCAGGAGAUAUGGAGCACCUACAGAAAGCAGGAGUAUUUCCCAGGAAAAUCCCAAGUCAAAGCAAACGUGGCCCCAAAGUACAUCCUGACAAAUGUGACUCAGUGUGUCCUUCAAGGCUGCGUCUCCUGGAGGACUCUGUGGGUAAAAGUGUACCGUGGGCUUUAUGUUGAGAAGUGGUAUAUGAAAUGUGGAGGUGAGGUUGGCUUCAGAGGGCAGGGGGGGUUGGCAGGGUGGUAGCCCUGGAAAAAGGAAAGGAAGGAAUACACAACAGCUGAACUUCGUUCCGUGGGCACAGGGCACGGUGGGCUACAUUUCAGUCUGUUCUAAAAGCACCUACACUGGUAGGUCCUACACUUGGGAAGUAAGAGGGAAGACACAGUUUUGCUGUUUGGAAAUAGUAAUGUUUGUUAUAAGGUUAGGAUUAUUCCCUGGAUCCUGGUAACUGAGUGAGCUCGGCGUGCUCACUUGUGCUGUGCCUUUGGGGAGGCUUGGGUUCCUGCAGCUGCACGUGCUUAUCAUGAAGUGAUACACAGGGAAACCUGUUAGCAGCCACAGAAGAACAACGCACGGCACGAGGAAAGUGUAUCUCAAAGGGAACUCUCUGAGCGGGGCUGUAGGAAUUCACCAGGCAUGCACAGACGUCUGUUAAAAGGUGGUGGAUCGGAUGGUGAUGGCUGGGCAGGGUUUGCAUAGAGGGGAUUGGGUGUUGGGAAGGAUGGGCUCUCAUACUGUACCUGCAGAUGCAGGCUCUGGACAGGGGCUCCUUCACCAGCAGUGCUGGGGCUUUGCUGCUCCCUCCCAGCCACGUUCUUUUUGAGGUUGAUGAGCUCAGCCAUUACGGCACCAGCCUACUUCAAAAGUGGUCACAUUGCCAUGCCUUGCUGGGAUGUGAGUCCAAAGACCGUCCAAGUACCAGAAAUAAACGACUGCUAUUUUCCAACUUACCUGCUCUCCACAGCUUUCUGCAGCAAAAUUGAGGCUUUCACUGCAUGUGAGUCCACCACAGCUCUCCUGUCUUUAUGGGAAGAUUACAGUUGCUCUGAGCCCUGUUUCUCACCUCUCUCGGAUGGUGUAAGGGCACGGAAAAGCACGUCUGAGUACGUGUGCAUGCAUGUGUAUUUACGAGGGAGAGAAUCACGAGAGGAGGCUGUGUCAUGCUCCUCCUUCCAGUUAGCCCUGUUCUAAGCUUUCAGUCUAGCUGCGAUCCUUGCAUGUAGCCCAGACCUCUGCCUUUCCUGCGUUUUCUUUGCACGAUGAGUUAUACAUCAGGGGGAUGGCUUCUGUCUCACUCUGCCUAAGUGGUGAGCCGUGCAUCCAGCUGUAGGUCUCGGAGUAAACACCGCUUGGAACAGAGCGUCUGUGCUGACUGCAGGACGGCGCUGUGUGAGCGCAUCCCAUAGCAGUGGGUCACCCUCUCCCUAUCACCUCUCUGCCGCCUGCCCACCAGCAGCUCCAAACUCUUGCUGUCGGGCUUUCUUCAAGCCACAGUCUGGGACUGGACCGGCAGGGCAAGCGCUGAGUCACUGCUACAAAUGACUGCCCCAACCAUUAAUUUUUGUAGUCUGAGUGGCAGCAUUUCAUGCUGGGCACAACCAGCGGCAGAGAUGAAAGCUUGAAGCCAAAUAGGCAUCGCAGAGCCAGCGCAAGUGCUAUUUAUUAAAAAAAUGCCUGGAUUGCAGAGGAAGCAGAGGGGUGCACCUUGAAAGGAACCUUUAACACCUGUGAGCGAAGAGCAGCAAAGGGCUGCGGAGCGCAGGGAGCUGCCAGAGGCAGCCGCUAAUGGCCCUGGUCCUGGGGUGAGCUGGCAACGGGGAGCGCGUGGCCGGGAGCCAAGGGGUACUUUGUGCUGCUUCCUCUGUAGCCAUAGAAGCAAAGCGAAUGAGGGCUGUCGUACCGCUGGCCAGAGGUGCUGCCCAAACCGAGCUGAGAGGCGACGAAGGGCGGGUGGGGAAGGAGAUAUCCCUGGGCUCCUGCAGGGAUCUGCUGCCCUUCGCUGCCUGCAGGGAGUGCCACGUGUGUGUGCCCGUCCCCAGCCUCCGAGUUGCUCCGUGCGGCAGAAUCUGCUGCAUUAGGUCGAUUUCAAGAGCCCCUCAGGUCAGUUAGCAAUUACCUGCACCAGAUACGCGCUUGGAAAGGAGCUUCUGAUCUCUUCAAUGCACUCGUUUUCCUCUCUCGAUUUCAAAUUCCCCUUGCUGGAAAUAGGCACUUCAGCCUCUUUUACAGACCGUAGUAAAUUAAGAUUUUGUCCAGUUCUGUUGGUUUUGCUGAUGGAGAUGUUUUUCCCUACAGAGGCGAAGCCAUGGCCAAUCUGAGGUGCGCUCAGACCCCUCCAUGCCAACUCUUCCAGGUGACGUCAUGGUGUGCACAGCACUUCUGCAUGCAUUGCUGGCCCCGCUGUGGGCUGAGGAGCCUCUCCUGAGAUUGUCACCGUGGUGCCAAAGCUCUGGUUAUGAAUUCAGGCUCCGGGAAGGGGGGAGGGGGGUCAGCCCAUUUGCUUUGGGCUCUUUGCUGGGCUCCUGCUGUCUGAUGGGAAGUUGCACGGC